UUCAGUACUGAUAGUGAAUUUCGGGACGCAGUCUAUAUGAACGUGUUGUCUAUAGUCCAUCAUUGUCAUUAUAACGUUGAAGCUGUGAAAUGUUAACCUUCGCACACAGAACGCGGAAACGCUUACUGCGAGACAAAACGCAGUGUGGUCGUCUUUUGUCGCGCGACAAAUGUUUCACGCGUUCUGUGUGCAGAAGCCAGGAGUUGCUUGCCACCAUAGUGCGUCGAGGAUCGUGAGUGAGUGAGUUCCGUGCGCCACGUGCUUCAAUAUUUUCUUCUUAGAAAGAGCUAAAGGAAUUGAAGGAAUCUUCAAUAUUAUAAAGAUUACCACACCGCCUUUUUUGAACAUUUAUAGACAACCAUAGAACGUUCUGUGCUAUUUGGGUAUAUAUUUCGGGUACAAUUUUUCUGGAAGGAUAUUUUGGAACCUAAUCUAACAAUAA